GGCUGAACGGUGGCGCAGUUGGUAGCACUGUUGCCUUCCAGCAAGAAGGUCAAGAAGGUCCUGGGUUCGAUUCCCAGCUGGGGGUCU